AUUGAACGUUGGCGGCAGGCCUAACACAUGCAAGUCGAGCGGAUGAAGGGAGCUUGCUCCUGGAUUCAGCGGCGGACGGGUGAGUAAUGCCUAGGAAUCUGCCUGGUAGUGGGGGAUAACGUCCGGAAACGGGCGCUAAUACCGCAUACGUCCUGAGGGAGAAAGUGGGGGAUCUUCGGACCUCACGCUAUCAGAUGAGCCUAGGUCGGAUUAGCUAGUUGGUGGGGUAAAGGCCUACCAAGGCGACGAUCCGUAACUGGUCUGAGAGGAUGAUCAGUCACACUGGAUCUGAGACACGGUCCAGACUCCUACGGGAGGCAGCAGUGGGGAAUAUUGGACAAUGGGCGAAAGCCUGAUCCAGCCAUGCCGCGUGUGUGAAGAAGGUCUUCGGAUUGUAAAGCACUUUAAGUUGGGAGGAAGGGCAGUAAGUUAAUACCUUGCUGUUUUGACGUUACCAACAGAAUAAGCACCGGCUAACUUCGUG
rnacentral:rRNA from 1 species